rnacentral:rRNA from 1 species
AGGAUGAACGCUGGCGGCGUGCCUAACACAUGCAAGUCGAACGUCCUGUCUCGCAAGAGGCAGGGAGUGGCGGACGGGUGAGUACCACGUGGGUCAUCUACCGUGAGGUGAGGAAUACCGGCGAGAAAUCGCCGACAAGACCGCAUAGGCUCGAUGCAAGUCGAGCAAAGCUCUUUCGAGAGAGGGAGCGCCACACGAGGAGCCUGCGCCCGAUUAGCUAGCUGGUGGAGUAACGGUUCACCAGGGCGACGAUCGGUAGCUGGUCUGAGAGGACGAUCAGCCACACUGGGAUUGAGAACGGCCCAGACUCCUACGGGGGCAGCAGUGAGGAAUUUUCGUCAAUGGGGGCAACCCUGAACGAGCAACGCCGCGUGCAGGAAGAGGUUUCGGAUCGUAAACUGCUUUUCUCGGGGAAGAGAAUGGACGGUACCCGAGGAAUCAGCCCCGGCUAACUACGUGCCAGCAGCCGCGGU